GCAGAUACAAUAUCCGCAAGGCUUAAGAGGUGGGUCAGGGUGAGAAAAAGUCGUAUAAAAGGCAAGAGAUAAGGUUACCGAAAUCAGUCGAGUGAGCAUCUCCGACCCGCAACAACUACUGUGCACUAUUUGUCACUAAAUCGCAAUCAUGAUUGCUUAAAAGGAGAAAAAAGGCGAAAUAAUCAGUCGAAUGAUGAUCUCCGACACGACAACAACUGCCGUGUACCAUCGAUCACCAAUUGCAUUCUUCAUCGUUUACAGGGUAAACUGUGUCGUCGUUCUGCUGUUGGUUGUUGUCCUCAAAUACUACACCACCGAGGCUUCAAAGUAUUACACUACAAUUUAUGCUGCCCCGAGCUGCAUCACCAAAUAGCCCG